rnacentral:lncRNA from 10 species
AAAGAGGAAUGUAGAGAAAGGAGAUCUUGUGUUUGCCUGAAUACAUGUCUCAUAAGGCUCACUUCCUACUCAUGGGUUCAAUGAUAUACUUCUUUAACUUUUCAAGAAAUUUUCUCCUUCUGCUCUAUUUAGUUUGAAUGGUUUACUGCUAUUUUAUGAUUCAUGACUAAGACUUCCUUCUGUUUAGUGGCAAAUUGUCUAAAAUGACCAAGAAAACACCGUACUUAUUCUCACAAUGAACUGCAACUUAUGGUUUUUGAGGCUCCUAUAGACCUGACCAACAUGAGAGGCUAGAGAAAGAGUUCACAUACCCAACAACGAUUUGAAAGUCUGGUUCAGGAUCUACCCAGCCACAGGAAGAACAAGAGCCACAGGUAAUUGUUGUACAUGGGAUGAAAUAGUUUCCUCCACUUCAGGACUAAGGUUUAUUGAAGAACAGAUGGCACCAGGAUGUGGUUGCUGCAUCUCGAUGUCAUCUCAGCUUUAUCUAAGCUUUGCUGAAGUCCUGAAUGCACUGAAAAGAGCCAAAUUCCAGACCUGCUGGCAAUGAACUGUGCUUCAUUCCUCAUGUAUGAACUCAGCGUUGGGAUGAAUCUCUCCCAGUGGAAAGAAACAGGCAAAGAAACGUGGAAAUUUGUACAGCUUGGUUAUUGUACAGAUUGAGGAAGGUGGACUCAUUGCAUUUGGAAUAAAAGAUGGGUUUUCCUCCUUUGGCAGUAUUUUUAAAAAGAUAAAAUUUAUGAUCACAAUAAAUGUCAAGCUAAUUAACUACUACAAAGCACCACUUUUCUUUAUGUAUCUACUCCCUUUUAUAAACAAAACUAAUUGGAAGAAUGGUAAAGACGCUAUAAAAAUUCAGAGACUUUUAAGCCAGGAGUGAUUGUUAUCUGCCAUGCUGUGAGCCAGCAUUUUUGGUUUCCUGCCUGCCAGACUUCUUUGUGUUCCACCUUCGUUCCCCAAUUUUUCAAGCUCCCAGCUCACUCUGCC